rnacentral:tRNA from 13 species
CUAUGGUGUAGUGGUUUAGCACCCAAGACUUUGAAUCUUGUACCCAUGGUUUGAAUCCAU